rnacentral:lncRNA from 1 species
UCGGAAGUCACAGUCAGCCCCUAGGCUCCCUCAGGGUAGAGCACCUAGUGGGACCUGUGCUGGCUCCACCAGAUCCAGCAGCCUAUGUACUCCUCAGUGGAUCCCACCCUCGAGUUUUGCCUCCUAUUGAAAACGUCCCCUUUCCCUCCUCUCCAGUGUCUGUCCUCACUUCACCUAUCCCAAAGCCAAGACCCACUAAAUUUCCAAGACGUGGUUUAAAUAUCUUCAGGCACCUUUCCACUGUAUUUUGGGGCACACUCCUGCCAAAUCCACUCUUGUAAUCUACAGGGUGUGGGACUUUAGCUUUGGGAAUAUUCGCUCAUCCCACCCCUACUGGGGCACUGCCAAUGUCAGGAAGGAACCCAACCUUGGUGUUUUUUCCUUUGCUACACUCUAAAUGGAGGGGAUCCCCCACUUUUUUCACUGAAAUCCCCCCAAAAUAUGUCUCAGAAUAUCCAGGUUGCCCAGGUUCAGUAAGACAGGGCUCCCAGACCCUCUGGCUGGAUAAUACCUUUUUCACCAAGUCCCCCCCAUGUCUAGUAGCAUAGAAUUCUAGCGGCCAAGACCCUUUCUUCACCUUCACACCCUCCGCUCCUUUUGAAGUCACCUCCAAAUCCACCCUUCCUAGUGGAUACACCAGGUAGUUGACUGGAGGGCCUUCCGCCACCUCAAAAUGAGGAGCAUCCGUGUUUGUUUUUGUUUUUGUUUUUUUCUCCCCUGGCUGCCCCUUAAAUUUUCUUGGGGACAGCUGGUGCUGUUUAGAUCCCACGCCCUCCAAUCUAACCAGCCCCCCAAGAGAGGAGUGCACCCACGUUGUCACCAGUCCCCAGAUGUGAACAGGCCCCCUACAAGUCAGAGCGGAUCACAGCUUCCUGCUACAGGGCUUCCUCGUCCUCCCCGGGAUUGCCUAUAGCACCCCCUCUUCCUUUUCCCGACGCCCCUCAACCUGUCCUGUCCUGUUGAUCCGGCGACGGGUGGCGCUGGCUUCGGCUCCAGGCUCCUCCCUCCCUGUCCCCCG